GUAGGGAAUAUUGCGCAAUGGACGAAAGUCUGACGCAGCGACGCCGCGUGAGUGAUGAAGGCCUUAGGGUCGUAAAGCUCUGUUGAAUGGGAAGAAAAAAAUGACGGUACCAUUCGAGGAAGGACCGGCUAACUUCGUGCCAGCAGCCGCGGUAAUACGAGGGGUCCUAGCGUUGUUCGGAAUCAUUGGGCGUAAAGGGUGUGUAGGUGGCCAUGUAAGUCAGGUGUGAAAGCCCCGGGCUCAACCCGGGAAGUGCACUUGAUACUGCGUGGCUUGAGUACCGAAGAGGGUAGUGGAAUUCCAGGUGUAGUGGUGAAAUACGUAGAUAUCUGGAGGAACACCGGUGGCGAAGGCGGCUACCUGGUCGAGUACUGACACUGAGACACGAAAGCAUGGGGAUCAAACAGGAUUAGAAACCCGUGUAGUCC
rnacentral:rRNA from 1 species